GUUUGUCGCGUCGUCUGUGAAAUUCCGGGGCUUAACUCCGGGCGCGCAGGCGAUACGGGCAUAACUUGAGUGCUGUAGGGGAGACUGGAAUUCCUGGUGUAGCGGUGAAAUGCGCAGAUAUCAGGAGGAACACCGAUGGCGAAGGCAGGUCUCUGGGCAGUUACUGACGCUGAGGAGCGAAAGCAUGGGUAGCGAACAGGAUUAGAUACCCUGGUAGUCCAUGCCGUAAACGGUGGGCGCUAGGUGUAGGGGGCUUCCACGUCUUCUGUGCCGUAGCUAACGCAUUAAGCGCCCCGCCUGGGGAGUACGGCCGCAAGGCUAAAACUCAAAGGAAUUGACGGGGGCCCGCACAAGCGGCGGAGCAUGUGGAUUAAUUCGAUGCAACGCGAAGAACCUUACCUGGGCUUGACAUACACCAGAUCGCUGCAGAGAUGUAGUUUCCCUUGUGGUUGGUGUACAGGUGGUGCAUGGUUGUCGUCAGCUCGUGUCGUGAGAUGUUGGGUUAAGUCCCGCAACGAGCGCAACCCUUGUCUUAUGUUGCCAGCAUUUUAGUUGGGGACUCAUGAGAGACUGCCGGGGUUAACUCGGAGGAAGGUGGGGAUGACGUCAAAUCAUCAUGCCCCUUAUGUCCAGGGCUUCACACAUGCUACAAUGGUCGGUACAACGCGCAGCGACACUGUGAGGUGGAGCGAAUCGCUGAAAGCCGGUCUUAGUUCGGAUUGGGGUCUGCAACUCGACCCC
rnacentral:rRNA from 1 species